GAACUGAAGAGUUUGAUCCUGGCUCAGAUUGAACGCUGGCGGCAUGCCUUACACAUGCAAGUCGAACGGUAACGCGGGGCAACCUGGCGACGAGUGGCGAACGGGUGAGUAAUGCAUCGGAACGUGCCCAUCAGUGGGGGAUAGCCCGGCGAAAGCCGGAUUAAUACCGCAUACGACCUGAGGGUGAAAGCGGGGGACCGCAAGGCCUCGCGCUGAUGGAGCGGCCGAUGUCGGAUUAGCUAGUUGGUGGGGUAAAGGCUUACCAAGGCAACGAUCCGUAGCUGGUCUGAGAGGACGACCAGCCACACUGGGACUGAGACACGGCCCAGACUCCUACGGGAGGCAGCAGUGGGGAAUUUUGGACAAUGGGCGCAAGCCUGAUCCAGCCAUGC
rnacentral:rRNA from 1 species